AUUGAACGCUGGCGGCAGGCCUAACACAUGCAAGUCGAGCGGAUGAAGGGAGCUUGCUCCUGGACUCAGCGGCGGACGGGUGAGUAAUGCCUAGGAAUCUGCCUGGUAGUGGGGGAUAACGUCCGGAAACGGGCGCUAAUACCGCAUACGUCCUGAUGGAGAAAGUGGGGGAUCUUCGGACCUCACGCUAUCAGAUGAGCCUAGGUCGGAUUAGCUAGUUGGUGGGGUAAAGGCCUACCAAGGCGACGAUCCGUAACUGGUCUGAGAGGAUGAUCAGUCACACUGGAACUGAGACACGGUCCAGACUCCUACGGGAGGCAGCAGUGGGGAAUAUUGGACAAUGGGCGAAAGCCUGAUCCAGCCAUGCCGCGUGUGUGAAGAAGGUCUUCGGAUUGUAAAGCACUUUAAGUUGGGAGGAAGGGCAGUAAGUUAAUACGUUGCUGUUUUGACGUUACCAACAGAAUAAGCACCGGCUAACUUCGUG
rnacentral:rRNA from 1 species